rnacentral:rRNA from 1 species
GAUGAACGCUGGCGGCGUGCCUAAUACAUGCAAGUCGAGCGAACGGACGAGAAGCUUGCUUCUCUGAUGUUAGCGGCGGACGGGUGAGUAACACGUGGAUAACCUACCUAUAAGACUGGGAUAACUUCGGGAAACCGGAGCUAAUACCGGAUGAUAUUUUGAACCGCAUGGUUCAAAAGUGAAAGACGGUCUUGCUGUCACUUAUAGAUGGAUCCGCGCUGCAUUAGCUAGUUGGUAAGGUAACGGCUUACCAAGGCAACGAUGCAUAGCCGACCUGAGAGGGUGAUCGGCCACACGGGAACUGAGCCACGGUCCAGACUCCUACGGGAGGCAGCGUAGGGAAUCUUCCGCAAUGGGCGAAAGCCUGACGGAGCAACGCCGCGUGAGUGAUGAAGGUCUUCGGAUCGUAAAACUCUGUUAUUAGGGAAGAACAUAUGUGUAAGUAACUGUGCACAUCUUGACGUUACCUAAUCAGAAAGCCACGGCUAACUACGUG